rnacentral:lncRNA from 1 species
UAGCAGGUGACAGGUGAUUAAGGUGUGUCACUGUGUCCCUCUCAGGUCCUUGCCUGACUGGGCCAAGGUUAGGUGAAGAUCAUGUUCAGGCUCAAUGGCUCCACAGUAACAUGUGCUUUCUUCAAUCAGUUUUAGUGAGCGUGUCACUUGUGUUGCGAUGGGAAGUGACAUCCAAGGGGCAGAAGUGAUGGCAGAGGGGCCACCACUUUCCUCAUCUGCUGGAUGGAGAAGAAGAACCAAUGUGCCAAACGGAAAAUGGGUUCUGAGCCUGAAUUGGCAUCGUGUUUUGAGUCUAGGACCUUCUGCCCCUUCCAGGAAGUUUGGUGUCUUCCAAGAGCCCUCACACCUUUGGUCUCCUCACCAACAAGAAGGAGAAUUCUUACUUCAGCGUUGGACGACCUUUCCUGCAUGCCGGGGAGAAUCUAGCUGGUAGAGAACACCAGUGUACAAUGGAGAACGCACCAGCAAAGGAGGACACAGCUCCCGCUCUGUAGUUGGAUGACUGAGGCUGGAAGGACCGGGGAGACUUGAAUCCGAGCCACGUCACGGCGGGUGUGCUGCCUGUCCGCACAUCACCCUUUUCCAUACACAGCGUCGCUGUCGUGGCCAGGACCCUCUCCACGCGGCAGGCACAGCUCUGGGGAGCCUGUGAGUGCAGCCCCCACCCACCAUGGCCAGGAUCGGGAAUCAAAGUCGUGGCAAGAUGCUGGCCAGUUUGGAAGCGGUGAAGAAAACCGUGGCAGGGUGUUUCGGAGGAGGAGAAGAAGCCAAGGUGGCUGUGGAGCUCUAGGGCACCUGCAACAUCCCGUCACCCGUGUGUGCGUGUGCGUGCGCGCGCGCGCGCACAUUUGUGCCUGGGCUCCGUGGGUCCUGGGAGUGAGGGCCCAGGAAGUAGGGAG